rnacentral:tRNA from 1 species
GCGGGCGUGGUGUAACGGUUGCACAAGAGCCUUCCAAGCUCUCGGAGACGGGUUCGAUUCCCGCCGCCCGCU